CACGCCGUAAACGGUGGGCACUAGGUGUGGGACCCAUUCCACGGGUUCCGUGCCGUAGCUAACGCAUUAAGUGCCCCGCCUGGGGAGUACGGCCGCAAGGCUAAAACUCAAAGGAAUUGA
rnacentral:rRNA from 1 species